CUCUUCCAAGACUACUACUGAGUUACUCUCCUGACUCCUCCUCCUUGUCUGAACUUCCGAGAGUCCAAGCCUUCAACAAGAUUGGAAGCUCGAUUUUCGCUUGCUAGUUGCUACCACUCAUCUGUACGAUUGCAUCUUACCACACGGUCCAUACUAUACGGCCGUUGCUGUUGUUGUAUUUACUGAGAGGGUUGGCUUCAUUUCUUUCCAUCAGCCAUGGCCUAUCAACCAUUGCUGCAUUUUCUCUUUGCAGCUUUGGUCGUCCACUGAAAAAAGGUAUUGAGCUAAUUAUUUGCUAUAAUUUGCAUCCCUUCAAAAAUUUUCUAAAUUUCUUCAAACCCUAAGUUCUAAAAUUGGGGCUUUUAUUUCAUUAUUUGUAAAGGUUGGGGGGUUGAAUCGAUUGAUAGCUCAAGGGAAAGAUGGAAAAAGAACAUGGGCCAAAUGACACUUCGAAAACUGAUUCGGCAUCCAUCGCAAGAGUAGGACUUACGUCAUAUUCGUCCAUUCCUCUGUCGUCAACUGCUUGCAGACUAACUGUUUGAUUAUAUGUUACUGUUAAUUGUUACUUCUGAUCUUUUUCAUUUGUCUGCAACAGAAUUUAGUAGAGUUCUUUAUUUGUUUGUUUGUUUUUUUUUUUCCUUUUCCUUAUGAGAUAUGGUAGUAUAAGUAGGAAAGUAUUACCGAGAGAAGAAGUUUCCUUUUGCUUUUCGAAUAUUUUGCAUGGACUAUUUAAGACCUUGGCAUUUCAUGGGACAGGUAUGAAGUCUUGGGAGACCAGAAAUCGAGAAAAAGUUCAGCAAUCGCUUAGUGAAAUUACAUAUGGAAGUUUCUGUUUUUGUCCAUUAUUUGCAACUAAUAUGUUUCUAGCUACUACAGAUUUUAUCCCAGUGGAUUACAAAUUGCUAUUGAAAGCCUAUAUGUUUACUUUUGUUGAUUUUUGUUUGAAACCAAGGUGGACUUCUC
rnacentral:lncRNA from 1 species